CACGUAGGGCGCAAGCGUUGUCCGGAAUUAUUGGGCGUAAAGAGCUCGUAGGCGGCUUGUCACGUCGGAUGUGAAAACUCGGGGCUCAACCCCGAGCCUGCAUUCGAUACGGGCUAGCUAGAGUGUUGCAGGGGAGACUGGAAUUCCUGGUGUAGCGGUGAAAUGCGCAGAUAUCAGGAGGAACACCGGUGGCGAAGGCGGGUCUCUGGGCAGUAACUGACGCUGAGGAGCGAAAGCGUGGGGAGCGAACAGG
rnacentral:rRNA from 1 species